rnacentral:tRNA from 1 species
GUCCUAGUAGCUUAAUGGUAGAGCAGCGCGGAAGUGCACCUGCGGUCACGAAUCGGGUUCGAGUCCCGACUAGGAUA